rnacentral:rRNA from 1 species
GCAUAUCAAUAAGCGGAGGAAAAGAAACCAACAGGGAUUGCCUCAGUAACGGCGAGUGAAGCGGCAAAAGCUCAAAUUUGAAAGCUGGCUCCUUCGGGGUCCGCAUUGUAAUUUGCAGAGGAUGCUUCGGGCAUGGCCCCCGCCUAAGUGCCCUGGAAGGGGCCGUCAUAGAGGGUGAGAAUCCCGUCUGGGACGGGGUGUCCGUGUCCGUGUGAAGCUCCUUCGACGAGUCGAGUUGUUUGGGAAUGCAGCUCUAAAUGGGUGGUAAAUUUCAUCUAAAGCUAAAUACUGGCCGGAGACCGAUAGCGCACAAGUAGAGUGAUCGAAAGAUGAAAAGCACUUUGAAAAGAGAGUUAAACAGCACGUGAAAUUGUUGAAAGGGAAGCGUUUGCGACCAGACUCGCUCGCGGGGUUCAGCCGGCAUUCGUGCCGGUGUACUUCCCCGUGGGCGGGCCAGCGUCGGUUUGGGCGGCCGGUCAAAGGCCUCCGGAAUGUAUCACCUCUCGGGGUGUCUUAUAGCCGGGGGUGCAAUGCGGCCUGCCUGGACCGAGGAACGCGCUUCGGCUCGGACGCUGGCGUAAUGGUCGUAAAUGACCCGUCUUGAAACACGGACC